rnacentral:lncRNA from 1 species
UUUUUUUUUCUUCUGGCUAAAAUAUAACAAUUCUGAGACAUGAGGCAUACUGGAUAUGGAUAUGGAUAUGGUUGUUUUCACCAUUUAAAUUGCUUAGAUAAAGUCUGCAAUGCAAGUAUACAACAAAGGAGAUACUCCACAUCCUUUUGAUGGCAAUUUCUAGGGUUACAUAUUCAACCUGUUCCUAUCAAGUACCGAAAAUUGCGCUCUUGCUUUUCAUUUCUAUCCAAUGUAACCUUUGAGCCUAUGAUACAGUACAUUUUGGUGCUAGUUGUGAAAUCUGAACUCUUUUAGCAUGCACAUCAUUCUUUACCGUUGUUUUUUUAAAGCUUGCUAGUGCUGGAUACACCCUUUUAAACUCGUUUUCCCCAUGGAUUCCUCACAGGAAAAGCAGAACAGUGCUGAUGACUCCACAAACACAAAGUUUAGUAACAGUAAUGAUGAAAUGGUAGAAACCUCCAACAAAGAUGACGAAAAGCAGAGAGAAACACCAGAGCUAAAUGUCGAACAGACAGCAGAAUCACCUGAAGAAGAUGGCAAGCUGAGAGCAGAGAUGCCUAAUGAAGACAAUGAGCUGCCAGGAGCCCGAAUAGUCACGAGCGAUCUGAAUGGGCACCAUGAACAGAUGCAAGAAAUAAAAUUGGAUUGAUAAGCAGUGUUGCACUUUACAAAAUAUCCAUGCCACCGCGUUAUAUCAGUAUACAUCUUAACAUGGUGACGGUUGAGGUAUCCCUGAGGGUGGAUUAAAUUUUGAAAUCCUCUUACCAUAUAUUGCUGUACUUGUUCAUGCCCACUCUCGGUUCCCCCUUCCCCUUGCCUUUUUUGGUUUCUUAAAUUCUUUUAGCUACCACGUCAGUAGGUCUAUAGGCUGUUUAAUUCUUCUCCAUUUUUUAUGAUUUGAGAAGAGAAAAGGGAGCAAGUUAUAUGGUUGUCCAGUUGCCGCCUUCUGAUGUAAAUGCAUGAGAAGAAUUGUAGUAGAUGAUAAUUCUGGGCAGAUGUGACACGCUUCUUGUCUUGUUGUAAAUUAUCACAUUUUUUUAGAAGGUGUGCUCGAAGUAAGUUAUCAUCAUUUUAAGAGAAUGGAACUGUGUUGGCGUUAACUGUGCCCUCGAGCCUUGUGUAACGUACUGUGGUUGCCUGUUGGUGCUCUACAGGCUUUCAGAAGUGAGUAAAGGGCCUUCUCAUGAGUUGAUCCGAUUUUCGCUAAAGUUUUCAGAAACAUGCACGCAAUUCUCUUUGAAGUUUUAAGAAAAAACUCUUGUACCAGAAGAUGUACCGUUUAUAUAUCACACAAAAAGGAGCUUGACAUAGCACGACACUUUUACGUUACACGCUUGUAUAGACGACGCACGGAGCUCGCUGUUGGUCUAUGGCCCCAUGCAAGUCACUCUCGCCCAUCUUUCUCCUUCGCCUCCAUGGCUCCAUCUUAUCCCUUCUAUUUAUCGGUUCCACAGUCACUCACUCACAUCGGAGGCAGAGGUUGCUUUGAUGGUUAGCAACCGCUGUUCGGUGAUGAGGUCACGCCUCACACCUGACACCUCCCUCCCUAUCUUUCUCUGCAUUUGAAGAAGGGGAUGGGGAUAGAUUCAUAGAUCGAUAGGAGGAUGCCCGGCCGCGGUGGUUGGCGCGGCAGAGGUGGGGGAUUCACAGUGGCUGCCAGCUCGGUUAAUGGAAGGCAGGGUGCGAAAAGUGAACUUCUUGAUGGCACGGCAAGAAGGCAAAGGUGCAGUGUCGUCGGCCACGGGCAGCGGUCAGCGGAUGUGACCGCCGUGCGCCAAAUGACCUCUGUUGCUUUGGACGCGCUAAACACUAUCAAGCAGUCUUUGAACAAAAACCCUGUAUGUUUGUUUUGUACAAUAACGGAACAAGCAAGGGCAUACUCUAGAACACAACUACACAAGGCCCCCCAAGAAAAAGACUCCAAGAAGAGCACGAACAGGAGAACUUUGUCCUGCCAUGGCACCAGCCAGUACCAACCAAACACCCUGUGAAUCUGUCGCUGCUCCCUUGAGAUUCAGUUGUAGCUGGGCUCUCUGCUGAAUCCGCUGCCGCGGUCGGCUUUCUCCCUCGCGCUAGCGCUCUCCGCGUUCCUCGGCGCCACGAGGCUGCUGAUGGUCCUCACGAUCUGCCGCUUGAGCUGCCCCCUCUUCAGUGGAGGCCUCUUCUCCUUCGAGCCGAAGUUGCCGCCGCUGCUGUGGCUGUGCUGCUGGUAGGAGUAGUAAUCCAUGGCUGCCUUGCCGCCUCCCUCCCUUCUCGCUUCCCUCCUUGUGUUUGUGUUCUUGCGAGUGUUCGGUGCUUAAGCCAGGUGCUCACUUGUGAAGGUGAUGGACUGAUAGCAGAGGGCGACAGGUAUUUAUAAUGGCGAAGGCAUACUACCACCUGCUGUUUUCAGUUCGUUUGUAAAAAGAAAACAUCUGACGUGUUUUUCUAUUGCCGAUCUUUGCAGGAACAACUUGGCUACUUCUGGGCCAGGGUGCCUAACUAUAUUGAAUUGUGAGAACGUGUGAUGAACGCACUAAUCAGGGAACUUAUGCUGGUUCUGAAAGGGACCGAAACUGUUAACUAGAGGGCGAGUUGGGGCCGUGUGGAUCGGUCAGGGGUGCAUCUUUGAUUUGAAGCAUCCGAAGACCACUGACCGGUCAGACUCGUCAGUCCAGCUCGAAUUCGAGCUCAUGUCGAACAGUAGAAAGUAGAGAAAUAAACUAUUCGACCUCAUGGGCGUAGCUGAACGGUUGGUUCACGUUCACCGUUACGUUUGGUCUGUCAACUUCUGAUGAACUGAACAUGUCGUCGGAGUACAACUGCAGGUGAUCAAGCCAAGGCCGGCAUGGAACCAUCAUUGUUUAUCACGGGAAAUCGGAUGAGUGUUGACUAUGGAGCUGAGAACACGAUUAAACAACUAGCACGUGCUGGCGAUCGACCUUAUCCUGAAUCCUGAGAGGAACGAGACCACAUAGACAUGUCUCACUGAAAUGUUCAGUGGUGUCUUCCAAGGUUCAGUGCCUCUCGUUGGUGUCAGACAGCAGGGUUCAGAGGCUUGAGGUGUCAGCGUGUCAGCCAUGGCCGCAGCAUGCGCCUACUCACAGGACGACACCUCGACCCAUGGAUCCACAACGCCUGUAUUUUCUUGAAAAGGAAAAUCGCCAGUAGCUGUCCGCGAUCUUAUCUCACAGAGCGCGAAGCGACUGCACUUCUCCUCACAGGCUAUGGGCCUGUUUGGUUCCUUUGCUUAUUUUUAAGCACGUAUCACAUCGAAUGUUUAGACACUAAUUAGUGUAUUAAACGUAGAUUAUUUACAAAACCCAUUAUAUAAGUGGAGGCUAAACGGCGAGACGAAUCUAUUAAGCCUAAUUAAUCCAUCAUUAGCACAUGUUUACUGUAGCAACACAUUGUCAAAUCAUGGACUAAUUAGGCUUAAUAGAUUCGUCUCGCCAUUUAGCCUCCACUUAUGUAAUCGGUUUUGUAAAUAGUCUACGUUUAAUACUCCUAAUUAGUAUCUAAACAUUCGAUGUGACGGGUGCUUAAAAAUAAGCAAAGUAACCAAACCAGGCCUAUAUUUGCCAUGUGAUCCAUGCUGGUUAUCUUCUCGUCAGUUGUCAUGCGUUCCAUACUUCCAUUUAUCUUGCCUUUUUUUUAUAGUACGUGUGGGAUUACAAGGAAAAACUAUUCAGUAACGUCCACCCAACAUGUUGGCUUCUAUUCUGAAGUUAUCUGAAAAGAAAAGGCAUGCAUGAUCAGUAGCUAACAAAAAGCAGCACUGGUUCGUAGACAGAGAGACACCCGGGACACCACAGGAAAAUCUUCGGUAACGUCUACUCAACUGGUUGGCCUUUGCAUUUUCGUUGUUCUGAAAAUUUCCUGAUUCCACCACCUCGUGUUAUGCUCUGAUGGAGCCCACGCUAACUGAAAAGACAUGGGCCUCAAGUGCACACAGGUUCCCCGACUAUUUGACCAGUGUGUGUCGAUCCCAUUUCACAUAAGCCUCGUGACCCAGGAGACCCGGUCUCGGCUGCUCCUUAAAGUGGUCAACUUAUUCCUGCAACAAAAAGUGGUCAACUAACGGCAGUAUGCGUAGGUGCAUGCAAUGCAUGGAACUAGUGUAGCCAUCAAAAAGGCUGUCGCUGCCUAUAAAUCCCGUCCAACCAAACCUUCCGGGAUGGCAUCGCAUCCUAGCUCAAGUGAGUGAAGUGAGCACCUGACUCCAAAGUCCAAACCACACCACACACAAAGCAAAGAAGCAGCAGAUCGAAGCAAGCAAGCAAGGGGAUAGAGUGAGAUCAGAGGAGCCAUGGAGUUCUACUACCAGUACUUCAGCUGCGGCGGCGGCUGCAGCGCGAAGGAGAAGAGGCCGCCGCUGAAGCGGGGCCAGCUGAAGCGGCAGAUCGUCAGGACCAUCAGCAAGCUCGUGGUGCCCAGCGGCGACGGCGGCGGUCAGAACCAAGCGGCGGACGGCAAGUUCAGAAGAGGACCGAGCAGCAGCUGAGUCGCGUGCGUGGAUGCUUUAGCUCUGCUGGAACGCGUGCGCUGUGUAUAUUGUAUAACUUGUCAUGAAGUAACUUUGAGUAUAUAGGGACCUGCUCUUCACAUUCCUGUGCAUGUUUUGGGAUUGUGAGUGAAGGAAAAAUCAUUCGAUUGAUGCAUCUUUGCAUCCGAAUUCUGCUCACGUCUUCAGUAGCUGUCAUGAGGAAUCAGCUGAGGGAAUGGCGUCCCCUGGUGGCUUCCAUGCUGCUGCCCUGUACCAGCGUCUCUGGCCGCCGGCCAGCCAGCCAGGAAGGACGCGCAUCCCAAGUCUCCACGCUUCCUCCACUGCUCGAGCUCUCAUGCACGUGCUUCGGUGCUUGGGAUUUGGGAACAAGCAACGGCCAGUCUGUUAGAACGGCAAUGAAUUUCGGUAGUUGUGGUAUGUGAACGCUGAUUUCUACGGUGCCAGGAGCUCGACAUCCUCCUUUACUUCUUCAAUUUGGUCAGCCGACUUCAGUUUCAUCAGUUGAAGCAAGCUACGGUUCACCGACUUCACAGGGAGCCUAAGAUUUAAUUGCCAGGUCUUAAAAAAGAACUGAACGCAAACCUCGUAUAACCGGGUAAAAGAGCUUCGCAUGAGUCUGAGGUGAUCUCUUGUAAGUUUUUCAGAAACAUACGGUCCUUUCGGAAAUAACGAACUUUCACAUCGGAAGAUGAUAUCACAAAACCAAUUUUUACAUAGCCUUUCUAUUAGCCCUUGUUUACUUCACUCCCAACUCCCAACUUUGACACUAUGCAAAAAGAAGAUUCCUCAUCACAUCAAACUUGCGGUACAUGCAUGGAGUACUAAAUGUAGACGAAAUCAAAAACUAAUUGCAUAAUUUUGUUGUACUUUGCGAGAUGAAUCUUUUGAGCCUAAUUAGUCAAUAUUUAGACAAUAAUUCACAAAUACAAACGAAACGCUACAGUGUCGCAUUUAUGGCAAAAUGCCAAUUUUGCAACUCCCAACUUGGAAAGUAAAUAAGGCCUUACUUCACAAGCUCAGCACUAGUCAAGCAGCCUUUUAGCACAAAACCUGCAUGUUUUGUACAACGGAACAGGGGGAAAAAAGAAGGCCUAAAUAAGUAGUACACGCAACAGAAGUACUUUGUGGUGCCUUUUUGCAUCAAUCAAGUUGUACCAAAGAGGAUGUGAAUCUGACGCCACCGCCCAUGAUUGUAGCUCGGUUCUGUGCUGACGAAGACGCCGCCGCGCCCGGCUUUCUCCCUUGAGGCAGCACCACCAGGCACCAGCAGCCGCGCUCCUCGGCACCACGAGGUUGCUGAUGGUCCUCACGAUCUGCCGCUUCAGCUGCCCCCUCUUCAGCGGCGGCCUCUUCUCCUUGGAGCUCAAGUUGCUGCCGCUGUUGCCGUGGUGGUGGUAGGCGUAGUAGUACUCCAUGGCGGUGAAACCACCGAAUUUCCAUUUCCGAGAACUCUAAGUCUACGCACCCCGUGACAAUCACAGGAAGGCUAUUAUGUGCAAAUCUCUAUCUCAGAUAGUAAAAAUUCAUACCAACACAGAAAUAUAGAAUAGCACCAGAGUAACAAUAUCAUAAAUAUAGAGUACAACACUUCGGCACAUGCCGAUACAAAUCUAGCCGGACUGAAUCAUGAAAGGAAAAACAUCUACAUAGGGGAAAUACGUAGCGUGGCGAACAACAUCUCCAGAGGUGACUUGAACAAGGGACCAUCCCUAAUCUUCCCAUCCGUCGUUGUCGAAGUUGUAGUCGGGCUACGACCCAAAAAAGCCCCAUCUACCAGAGAAGCGGGUAAGCCAUGUCAACUCCCGAAAGCAGCAAGCCAAGGAAACAGGAGGAAAUUACUAUAUGCAUGGAUAAACCUAUAUAUGGCUGUAAAGGUUUAUGCAGCAGCAACAAUCAAGAUUGCAUUAAAGCAAUACCAUCUCCGAGAUCAACACCUCUCAAUAAGGAAGCUGUCACAAAUCACCAGAUCCUUUACAAGAAUCCAGCACCCAAACACUCUAGGCGAUGUGAGAGCUCCCUCCCCUCACAUCUCAAUAGCAAACGCCGACCUAUCUCAAAAAGGGAAGGUAGAAGUAUAAUAAAGUCUAGUCAGAGUAACAGAUAUGAGGACUGUUCAUACCAGUGGACACGGACUAUAGCUAUAGGUUAUACACUCUGCAGAGGUUGUACAUCUGUACCCGCACGGAUGGAGCCUGAACGGGGAUCAGCCGUCCAAACCCCACCUAACGGUCGGAGCUCUAUUAGGUGGCUAGCACUCUCCUAUUUCCUCGAGUCUGGUAGUGUCUUUGACUGCAGGGCAUACCGUCACCAGUCGAAGACCUUGAUGCUGUGAAACCUACCCACGCUAGGGUGUAGUCUGGUCAGAGCAGGUCAACGCCUCGAACUCCUUACACUGAUCCUCCAAUCCGCCUACAGGCUGAGCACUAUCCACCACUAGUCUUGGAUCGAACCCCGCCCAUAACAAGGCGAACGGUAUGUACAUAAAUAGUCCAAAGAAACAUGGUUAAACUGACUCAGUCCUUAGGUGCCGAGACCGAGCACUCAAUUCCACAAAGUAUGUGCCGAAGCACCUCCAACGUACAAAUAUGCCACCUGCUCCUCAGUGUCAAACAAGGUACCCACCACAGGCACAUGGGGUGGAGAGAGACCAGAAUGCUCUCUCCUAGCAAGGCACUCCUCAAUACCAACCGCGGCUCGCUCCCACCAAAACACGGGGAUCACACUCACCCAAAAUGCACGUGAGAGUGUAUAAAAAAUCUCAUCACCAAAACCAUAGAAUAUUGCCAUCCAUAACUCAAAAGUAUGUAUAUGGAUAUAAGUAAGGUGGACUAGCUAGGGGUCUGUAGCUAACCCACAUGUAGGUAACAAGGAAAAUAAGGAAAAAAAUAUAAACAAUUAUCAAGGCACGGCUAGAAUCAUGGGCUAUGCAGUCAAUCAUCAUCCGAGCAUCAUAUAUAAAGCACUAGCACCUAAGCAUGCAUAGGAUCUAUAUGAUUGGGGUGACAUGACACCUUGUCCGUAGUCGUUGGGAUCCUCCUUGAUGUAGUCGGGGUCUUAAGAGUCUUUCGGGUCGUAGCUCGGGUCUGAAUAAAACGAGAUACGGCACCAUAUAAAUUAACCAGCAUUACAUCUAGGAAAAGACACCAAGAAAGAUAAAUUUAGAAGAUCCAAAUAACAUCAAACUAGCUACAAACAACACGGGCUCGAUUUUACGAAUUUAAUGCAACUGGUUUCAUAUUUUUCGGUGUUCAAAUAAAUUAGUUAUGAAUUUUUAAAGAUUAUUAAUUUUGGAAAAACAUUAAUUAGGGUAACACAUGCCAGCUUCUGGUUGCACCACGUGGCAGGACGGGAGGGAGCCACGUGUCGGCUGACAUCAGUGUUGACCAAUCAGCGGUCAACUGUGCCCCACCGGUUAGCUGGUGGGCCCCAUUAGUUAGUGGGCCCAUGUGUGGGCUCAGCCCAUGCCACGUCAACGCCACGUGGUCAUCCUACUCCAUGUGGCACUGCCACGUGGCGUGCAUGUGGCCGCACAGGGUUAGUCGGGAUCCGAUGUGCCGGCCGGAUCCUGUGCGCUAUGCACGAGCAUGCGACGCGCGCAUGAUCGGCUAAGGCAUGGAGCAGCAACGGCGCGAUGUCGCGGCGAAGGGCGGCGGUGACCGCACCCACGACUUCGCGACCCGGCGCGACGCCAUGGCGUGGUGUGGGUUAGCGCGCGGUGAGGCUGCGAGUAGUGAAACAGGCGCGGUGGCAGGAUGCGGUGCGGGCAGGCAUAGGCACGACGGGGUUUUGGCCUGGCCCAAGGCAAGACCUUUGGCCGCGCCAAGGCAAGCGCGAGGCAGCUGCACGUGUGUGGCGCAGGGGAACUCCCUGCCCGCGGCACACCCAUGGCUGCGCGCAGGUUCCGGUGCCCCGGAUCCGCGGCAGCCACGCCAACGUCGAGCGACGGUUGCGGCUUGAAGGCCGGUUAGGCAGAGCAAUGGCAGCAACGGCACGAUGGCCGGACAGAGGUGCUAAGGGGAAAGAAGGGGAAAAGAGGGCGGCGGUUCUCACGGCGGGCGGCGAUGUAGAACGUGGCCGGCUUGACGAAGGCUCGCGGACAGCAGUGACGGCAGCAGCUCCGGCUCCUCCUCCGCAGCGCUCCGGCAAUGAGCGGCUCCGCGGCGGCCUCCUCCUCCUCCUUCUUCUCCCUUCUCCUCCUCUUCUCUUUUCUCUCGGGUUGCUGGCGGCGGCAAGGGGGAAAACCCCGGGCGGAUUGUGUUGGCGAGGAGAAGGCUACUGGUCGGGGCUAUUUAUAGCCCGCGGCUGGGGCUAUGGCAAUGGGGUGCUGGGUGGCGGGCUGCGCACUGUCGAUCCUCGGCAGGCACGCCUGAGGAUGGCGUGGCGGCCAUCCAUCGGUGCGGUGCUAGGGUUUGAGGCAUGAGGCGAGGGCAAGGUGGGCAUUUCCCUAUGGCGGAAGGCUUCGGAAGGGGGUCACGGGCACGCGCGGUAGCGUGCGCCAGCGUAGCGAGCUUGUCCUGUUGUCCCCGUACGCGCCGCGCGCGGGAGGCGUACCGUGCGAUGGGGAAGAAAGGGGAACAGGGCCGGCCGACUGACGGGUGGGUCCUGCUUGGCGGUGAGAGAGACGGGAGAGAAUGAGGCGGUCGGGCGAGCCGGCUGGGCUGGCUAGCUAGGCUGGCCUGCUGGGAUGGUUCGGUAGAGUUAGGUUAGCGGACCUGGCCGGCCUGGUUUGGUUAGAUGUUGGGUUGUUUUUAUUUAUAUUUAGUUUGAAUUUUGAAUUAUUUUAAAAUUCAAACAUACUCAUUUUUGAAAUCCAACAAAAUCCAAAAAGAGCCCAAUCAAAUUGAGAUUUGUAGAAGAGAGUAGAAUUUAUCUUCCAUUUUUAAAUCAGCACAUAAUUUAAAAAAAUAAUUUUUUUAAAAUUUCACUCAAUUUAAUAUUUCGAAAUUUUGAAAUAUUACAUACCGGCUCCCUCUCUUCCUCUCUUCCUUGCUUCCCUCUUUGUCUCGUGUGUUUUCCUGUGUGCUCAGUUCCUCGGAACUGAAGGCACGAUUGAGCGGCUCUCGUGCUGGUCUGCUGGAGAUUGACGUCUUGUCGCAUGUCACUGAAUGCACACUGACGGACAAGAAGUGGUGCCUUCCGAGGUUCAGUGCAUCUAAUGGCAGACAUGGUUUAGACACAGCCACACGGGCUUUAGGUGUCAGCGCGGCCGCCGUCGGCGCCGCAUGUACCGGCUCACGGGGCGACACCUCGACCCAUGCAUCGGUCGAAAUCGCCAGCGGCCGGCCGUGACCUUAUCUCAUCUCAUCUCAUACAGCAGGAAAUUAAGCACUCCUGCGGGCCAUUUUCUGCCAUGUGAGACUCAUGCGUGUUGGUUAUUCUCUGGUUAUUUUACAAGGGACACCUCUCCAGGUGCAAGGAAAAAUCUUGAGUAGCUUCUUGUCCAUGCGGUGUAUAACUCAACUGUCGUUUGUCUCGUGUCAUGACGCUACACUGUUGGUGUUAAGCAAGUUCAACCCCGAACAGAUUUAGGAUUACAAAUGAUAUAGAGCUUUUCUUUCGAUUGUUCUUUUAAUUGAAAAAGUAUUAUCCCUUUACAAUAGGGUAGGCUCCCAUUUACAGUGAUGACCUACUUUAGUUUCUAAAAAUAUCCUCACUCAACCACUAUAGCCCUAGGAUAUGCCAAACGCGUGUACAAAUUGGUCAUGCUUCUCACGCCUUCCGCCUGUUAACCUCGGAACUUCAUCCUCGUUCUGAGCUAAUCGCUUAGCCUCGAGGGUUCAUCUGCAUCCCAAGCCGAACGCCUAGCCUCGAGGCGCCUGCUUCGUUGAGCCUUGAUGAAAAGUCGUAACCUCGAGCAGUUCUCCUCUAAGCUUCUUCCCUGAGUAAAGAAUUCAAAUCGCGGUUUGAGGUGUUUCUUUGCACCCGCUAACUCCCCUAUAAAAGGUGGGGGUAUGGGUCGCUCGAGGUUGUCGUCGUGUCUUGCUGAGAACUUGUUCGUUGUCAUUUUAGUGCUUUGAGAUUUGUGCUUUUCUGCUCCUUGCAUUGAUCUUUCUAGCUUCGAAGGUAUUAUUCUUAUCCUUUUCUUUCAUUCUUUUCUACCUUUGCUCUUUCACAUCUAGCUGGCUCGUAUUAUGCAAACUGCGAGGUUAAUAACUCUUGAAGAGUUGGAAGAGCAAACGAGGCUACGUGGGGAUGCUCCUGAGCGAUAGGAGGGCCGCGAGGGUUCUUAGCAUCAGGAGGAUCAUGAGGAUUCUCAACAUUUGGAAAUUUUUUCUGAUACUGACAGUGGAGAAGAUCUGACCAACAUUGAGACUGAUCCUUUGCAGCUCAUGGCUUUCAAGGAGACUUAUGCGCCGACGCUUCGCUUUGGCUGUUUGCUGGUUUCUCAAAACAUGAUAGACUUUUAUGUUAGCAAAGGCUAUUUUCCCAAGGACGUGGUGAGGCCUCCCGGCGAAGAGGUUGUGUCAAAACCCAAUCCUGGCGAGGUUGUGGUUUUCAGGGAUUUUUUUCACUUCCGGCCUACGUUUUCCAUGAUACAAGAUGUUUCGUUUUCCAUGAGACAAGAUGUUUCCUCAGAUCCUGGACAGGUAUGGGGCCAAGCUUCACCAUCUUACGCCUAAUGUUUUUAUGACACUUCCUAAGUUUUUCUGGGUCGAACGCACCUUUGGUGGGGUUGUUGAUGUGGAUGGCUUUGUGAGGCUCUACCAGCUUCAUAUUCAGAAAAAGAAAGUUCAAUUUAAUGAUGAGGAGGAGGCUCUCGAGACUCAGUUUGGUUGUUGUACAUUCACAACCUGGAGAAAGAAUGAAAAUAAGAAGAUUUCUAGAGUCGUGCUCUCUAUAGCUUAGAAGAACAGAUGGGAUGAUGAGUGGCUUGCUUACAGAUUUUAUGUCAAGGUUGAUAUGUCUGAGGCUUUUGGUUUUGGUCAGCCAUUUUGCCCAUUCUAUAGUUCGAUGUCUCCUCUUAACGUUAUAUCGGUUCCCACUUUUGGGAGGAUGAAAAGUUUCCGGACUUGCGAGGAUGCUUUUGUUCUUGCGUGUUCAGCUGUUGCUGGACAGGAUUUGUGUAACAACUUAGCCUAAUCAAACCAUGUUUAAUCUUAAGUAAAGUCAUUAGAGCAGAAAGAAGAACAAUUGGCAGUUGUGAAGAUAAGUAAAAAUACACUUUUGCCCUUACAAGCUAAACAACGGUUUAAACCAUCGAUUUGAUUAAGAACUUAAAAAUCUGUCCAACCAAGAGUUGUAGAACUCAACUUCACUAACAACUUUUAUUUUUGAUAUUUUGUUUGAAUCUAAGCCAAAGAUCUUCAAAACCUCAAAAUUUGAACCUGUGCCGAUUUAAGAAAAAUAGAUAAAGUCCCAACUUUGGAACUCUUUACCUAAGCAUGUGUUUGGAUGGGAGACAAUGUAGGACGAGACGGUCCCAUCCUAUUUUUCUGGGAUGGGAUGAUCCCAUUUCAUGUUUGGUUGAAUGAGAUGGGUUCAUCCCAAUUUUUUGUUUGGUUGGAGAGAUUGCAAUAGACAGGACGAGCACCGUUUUCUCCUUCCGUUAAACACCAUUUGUGGGGCCCACUUGUCAUACUAACAACAUCUUCUUCCUCCAUCCGCGCCACGCUAGCCUCGCCUACUCCACCCGUGGCGCUGCCCCUGCUCCACCCCGCCGCCACCCCUACUCGCCCCCGCUGCCCCCCGAUCCACCCCACCGCCGCCCCUGGGUCACGCCCGCGCCACCCCUGCUCCACCCCGCCACCCCCCGAUCCUCCCGGGUGCCCCCGCCUCCGGCCGCAUCCGUCCCGGCCGCGCCCGCCUCGGCCCGCAGGAGCUCCGGCCGCGUCCGCCCGCAGGAGCUCCGGCGCGUCCGCCCCGGCCGCGCCCGCCUCCGCCCACAGGAGCUCCGGCCGCGUCCGCCCCGGCCGCGCCCACCUCCGCCCGUAGGAGCUUCGGACGCGGGAGCUCUGGUCGUGGCGGAGCUCGCCCACGCCAGCCAUGGAGGGCCGCGAUGGAGCUCCAGCUCGCCCACGCGACUGCGGCGGAGCUCGCCCGCUCGCUGUUGCUCCCUCUCGCGUGACAGAUGGGGGGCGACGGUGUUGAACUGGGACGACCCCAUCCGGUCGUUUUUGGCGGACGGGAGCAUCUCGGAUAUUUGCGGUAUAUUCUCUACGAGGGACGACCCCAUCCCGUAUGCUUCCCAACCAAACACUGGAAAAAAUGGGAUCGUCCCGUCCCGUCCUCGGAACCAAACGCACCCUAAAAUUCUUCAAUAUGAACUCAAGCUGAGCUCUAUACAAAAGUUUUAAAGCUUUGAUCCCUUAACAACUUUGACUAAGGGAGUAAGGUCGAAAUCUGCACAUAAGGCUUUCAAAACCCAGGUCAAAGUCGGCCAGAUUGGUCAACUCAGCCCAAGACCUACAAUCUAGACCGAGUCUGGAAUCAUUUCAACCAUGCAUCUUGGCAUAAGCUUAUCUCACAAAAUUUGAACAGAAUGCCAGCAAAACCCUUUAUAAGAGUUUGAGACCUAAGUUCAUACAACAAGUUCAUCAUUUGGAUCCUGGUCAAAUUCACCUCAGAAGCUUUUCAAAACUGGAGCUUAAGUCAGCCAAAAAUCUUGAAAAUAGCCAAACUGCGGAAAUUCUUCCAAGUCUAGAAACUGACGUUCCCUCAAACUUUGAAGCUCUGUAUCUUCAAAUCUACUACAAAUUUGAGCUCAGUUCAAUUACAAAAGUUGAAUUAGGAUCUGAGGACUAUAACUUUUGUAAAGGGAGUUAAUAUCGCGCAGAUAAAAAAUCUGGAGUAACUCGCGCUCGAAGACCGCCCCAUCGCCGGAUCCCGCAGAUCCCUUGCGCCCAGAGCACGUGCGUCGUGCUCUACCCGUCGCUUGCCGCGUGGCCCCCGCUCAUCGGCGCAGCGCCUCCGCCUGGUCUCUGGCCACGGCAGGAUGACGCCUCGCGUGCCCCGCCGCCAGUGAAGCGCCGCGGUCCCCCCACCCUACUCCCGGCAACUCCGCCUCGCUCGAGGUCACGCCCUGCCCACUGCCCUACCCUGAGCGCACUCCCCCGCGGACGCCCUUCUCAACACCACCACCUCUGCCAACCGCUGGCCGGGAAGCGACGCAUCGAGCGCCAGCCUCACCAACCCGACGCCCCAGCAAAGCCGUUCCCCAUGCGCACGCUCGCUUCACCCACGCCUGCACGCCUCAACUGCAGCGCCCUCGCCUACCGCGCCACCCCUCCCUUCUCUGCGUCCAUGGCGCUGCCGCCAUUAAUGGCUGCAGCAGUGCCCCGGCUCCCCUCUGGUCCCCAGCUACCAGUCCUAGCUCUGUCUCGCUUGCCUGCUCUGCGCCGGCCCUAUAAAUGGAUGCCCUACACCGCCUAUGCCCCCUUCCCCACUCGCCCAACCUCACCGCGCUCCC